rnacentral:snoRNA from 1 species
UGGGCCAAUGUUAAAAAGGUCAUGAACCAAGGAUUAUGAUCAAUCCAAUUGUGUGUACCUGAGGUCUAGG